UACAUAGGGGUCAAGCGUUGUUCGGAAUCAUUGGGCGUAAAGAGUAUGUAGGCGGCUAUUUAAGUCAGGCGUGUAAGCCCACGGCUCAACCGUGGAAUUGCGUUUGAAACUAUUUAGCUUGAGUACAGGAGAGGAAGGCGGAAUUCCCAGUGUAGCGGUGAAAUGCAUUGAUAUUGGGAAGAACACCGGUGGCGAAGGCGGCCUUCUGGUCUGAUACUGACGCUGAGAUACGAAAGCCAGGGGAGCGAACGGG
rnacentral:rRNA from 1 species